CUGCUCAAUGAUUUUUUAAAUUGCUGUGGUAUUUUGACUAUACAAAGGUAUUGAAAUAAGAUUUUAAUUGAAUGCUAAGAGAAUGGAUUAAUAAAAAACAUCUUUCUUAAUUUUAAAAAUUAAAGUUAUUUUUUUUGUGCAGAAACAAAAAUAAAAAUUAAUGACAAGAAGACCCUAAGACUUUUUUAAUAAUUAAAUUUUAAAAAAUAAUUUAAUUAUUUUAAUUGGGGCGAUUAAUAAAAAUUUAAAACUUUAUUUUUAUAAAAAAAUGAACCAAUAUUAUUGGUUAUAUGAUAAAAAUACUCUAGGGAUAACAGCGUAAUAAUUUUUGAUAGUUCCUAUAGACAAAAUAGUUUGCGACCUCGAUGUUGGAUUAGGAUACUUUUUUAAUGAAGAAGUUUUAAAAAGAAGUUUGUUCAACUUUUAAUUUCCUACUUGAUCUGAGUUCAGACCGG
rnacentral:rRNA from 1 species